CCUACGGGUGGCAGCAGUGAGGAAUAUUGGUCAAUGGGCGCAAGCCUGAACCAGCCAAGUAGCGUGCGGGAUGAAGGCCCUACGAGUCGUAAACCGCUUUUGCACGGGGAUAACCCCCUCCACUUGUGGAUGUCUGCAGGUACCGUGCGAAUAAGGGCCGGCUAAUUCCGUGCCAGCAGCCGCGGUAAUACGGAGGGCCCGAGCGUUAUCCGGAUUUAUUGGGCUUAAAGGGUGCGUGGGCGGGCGUUAAAGUCAGCUGGAAAAUCGCGCGGCUCAACCGCGCCCCGCAGUUGAAACUGGACGGCUAGAGAUCAGAACAGGCAGGCGGAAUUCGUGGUGUAGCGGUGAAAUGCAUAGAGAUCA
rnacentral:rRNA from 1 species